rnacentral:hammerhead_ribozyme from 1 species
GCACUACUGACGAGUCCCAAACAGAACGAACACAGCUGUCUUGUAC